CACUCUAUGUGUUUUUGACGUUUUAUUGGGUUGUUUUGUUUUUUACACGUGUUUUUUGGUGCUUGGAUUGAAUAUAAGUGGAAGUGUUGGGAAGAUGUAGAAGCGAGAAUUGGUAAGUGUUAAGGAUUGGUUAGGUUGUGUGAUGAGAAAAUAUUACAUAUAGGUUGGGUUGAUUGAUUGAUUGAUUGAUUGAUUGAUUGAUUUUGUGCAUAAUUUUGAUAUGUUUACUAGUGUGUGUCGCCUUGAAUGAUAGUAAUGCAUCUAUAUUACUGAGCCUCUCCAGCCAUAACACUGCGGGGGUUGGCGGUGGUGGUGGUGGCGGCGGUGCGGGGCGGGGCGGGGCGGGCGAUCAGCUGGCCACGGUAAUGCGAAUGAGGUUUGCCCCGCCACAGAAUAUUAUGUUAAAGUCAUUUUUUUCCGAUAUUUUAGGGGGAUGUGAAGAAAAUAUGACCAAAAUAUUGCCUGUUUUACCUGAUAGGGGGUAAAAUAUUGCCUGUUUUACCUGAUAGGGGGUAAAAUAUUGCCUGUUUUACCUGAUAGGACGUAAAAUAUUGCCUGUUUUACCUGAUAGGGGGUCACGCUCCCCGUCCCCCACCCUCGCCCUAACCUGACCUAACCCAGUGACCCCAGUUAACCUAAUGUGAGCUGCACCCUCCUUCAACCUCAUUAACCUGACCUAACAGGGGGUUAUGCCUCUUUGACCGCCCCCUGACCUAAGCUGACCCUCUGUCCACCUACUGAGGAAGACGGUGCAGGACACACACACACGCACACACACACAUGCUGAGUAAUGAAGUUCCCAGAGGACAUUUAAGAACACAAAUCCCUCCCUCCUUUGACGAUAAGGAGGAAUAGGAGGAGGAGGAGAGAGGGAAGAAAGGAGAGGAGGAGGAGAAGGAGAUAGAAGUGUUGAAAGAGAAAAAGGAGGAGGAGGAGGAGGAGAAGAAAUCAGUUACAAGAGAAGAAGGAGGAGGAGAAAGAACAAGAAGAAGAGGAACAGGAGGAAGAAAUGGAGGAACAGAAGAGAGAGAAGGAAGAAAAGUGAGUGAAGGAAGGAAGAAGAGGAGGAGGAAAAGAGGAAGAAUGAGAGAAUAAUGGAGAAGUGGAAGAAGAAGACACAAGGAAUAAUAAGAUAGGUUAAGGACUUGGCCAUCUUACUGAAGGGAAAUGCUUUGAAGGACUCGGAAAGGGACACUAUCUGGAAAUGCAUACUGAAGGAGCCUUAUCACAAUUUCCCGUCAUCUCACUGCUCAGCCCUUCCCAGCUCUCCAGCAGCCUCCUAUAGGGUGCUGGGCAGGCUAUACAUGCUGUGGCAACCUUCUACAGUCUACAGGUCAAGAUGCAGGCCCCUACAUGCUCCCUACCUCUGAAAAACCCCAUAGAUUUGAACAACCUUGAAAAAAAAAUUGUCUGGAUCUUGUAAUAUUUUGUCCGCUGUGGGAGAAUCUGUGGGUGUUUCUACUGGUCCUGUGGGUCAGUCGGGUCCCCAAGGGUGUGUUCUGCUCCCACAGGUGUCUGCAGGCCCCGUGGAAGGUGCUGGGGGCUUAGAAGAGGGGUGUGAAUAUGGGCUAAGUUCCCCCAGUAUUGCCAUCACCACAGGGGGUACCAAGGGGUGUAGCAGUCCCCCACAGACCCCCACUGAGGCCACAGAGCAGGAGGGAGCACCAGGGGAGAAGGGAGGGGCUGGGGAAGAUGAGGAGGUGUUGGAGUCCUGUCAAUUCACACCAGUCUUUGAAAACAUUGGGGCCUCUUGGAAAGAUAAGAUCACAUGACCUCUCCCACACCCUUGACCUGACCAUGCAGCUGGCCAGGACCAUACUGAGGCGAUCUGAGAGUCUCCGAACUUCUCUGUCCCAACCCAGCAGCAGCAAUAGCCCAAGAAGUAGCCCAAAUGUAGCCUGCCAUAAGAGAUAGCACAGUAGCUAAAAAAAUAGCCCAAAGAUUAGGUUGCCAAAAAAAUAGCCCAAAGAAUGUGUUUUUUUUUGUUUUAUUUAUUUAGUUCAUUUAUUUUAAUUGUAAAGGAAGUUAGGAAUUUUUUUUUUUAUAGUCAGUGAGUUCUCUAAGUCAAGAAAGGUGUGUGUGUAUGUGUGUGUGUGUCAGUCAGUCAGUCAGUUAGUCAGUCAGUCAGACAGACAGACAGACAGACAGACAGACUUAUGCCAUUGAGAAAAUGACAUUAAGCUCUAGUCUAUUAAAAGUACAGAUUUAAUAUUUAAGUGAGACAGAGAGAGAGAGAGAGAGAGAGAGAGAGAGAGAGAGAGAGAGAGAGAGAGAGAAUAAUUGUACUGUGUGUGUGUGAGAAAUAUGACUGACUGCCCAGAUCCCCCUAUGAGGCAGCCGAUUGGUUGACAACUUUGUGCUUGUAUCUGAUUGGUCACCAUGACUUAAAUGUUGUGUUUGAUAAGUUUUUGAGGUCAUUUUCAAGUUUGGCCAAGUUCUGACUAAGUUCUGAAUUAAAAUAUUGUGUUUUUAUGAAGAUUUUUUGUUAAGGAAAGUUUGGCUAAUUUUUUUUUUAAGUUCUGAGUCAAAAUGUUGUGUUUCUGAUAAGUUUUUAAGGUCAUUUUCAAGUUUGGCCAAGUUCUGACUAAGUUCUGAAUUAAAAUAUUGUGUUUUUGUGAAGAUUUUUAGUUAAGGAAAGUUUGGGAUUUUUUAAAAAGUUCUUAGUCAAAAUGUUGUGUUUCUGAUAAGUUUUUAAGGUCAUUUUCAAGUCUGGCCAAGUUCUGACUAAGUUCUGGAUUAAAAUAUUGUGUUUUUGUGAAGAUUUUUAGUUAAGGAAAGUUUGGGAUUUUUUUAAAGUUCUUAGUCAAAAUGUUGUGUUUCUGAUAAGUUUUUAAGGUCAUUUUCAAGUCUGGCGAAGUUCUGACUAAGUUCUGAAUUUAAAUAUUGUGUUUUUGUGAAGAUUUUUAGUUAAGGAAAGUUUGGCUAAUUUUUUUUUAAAGUUCUGAGUCAAAAUGUUGUGUUUCUGAUAAGUUUUAAAGGUCAUUUUCAGGUUUGGCCAAGUUCUGACUAAGUUAUAAUUGAAAGUAUUGUGUUUUUGACAAGUUUAUAAGUGAAAAUUUGUGUUAAGUUCAUUGCAGUGAAAGUUGAUGUGUAUACUUAAGUUAUUCACUUAUAGAAACUUAUAAGGGCUUAAAGGUUACAUUAAAAAAAUUAGAGGAAUAAA